UUCUCAAGUCCUCCUGUGGUGCUGUUAGCUGUGCUAUGUGGUAAACAUAGCACAUUGUAAGUAGGAAUUUGUUCUUAACUGACUUGCCUUGUUAAAUAAAGGUUAAAUAUUUUUUUUAUACAAAAUGUGUUCCUCUCCUCCUCAGGUGCUAUUAGCUGUGCUGUGUGUUCCUCUGUUAGCUGUGCUGUGUGUUCCCCUGUUAGCUGUGCUGUGUGUUCCUCUGUUAGCAGUGCUGUGUGUUCCUCUGUUAGCUGUGCUGUGUGUUCCUCUGUUAGCAGUGCUGUGUGUUCCUCUGUUAGCAGUGCUGUGUGUUCCUCUGUUAGCAGUGCUGUGUUCCUCUGUUAGCUGUGAUGUGUGUUCCUCUGUUAGCUGUGCUGUGUGUUCCCCUGUUAGCUGUGCUGUGUGUUCCUCUGUUAGCUGUGCUGUGUUCCUCUGUUAGCUGUGCUGUGUUCCUCUGUUAGCAGUGCUGUGUUCCUCUGUUAGCUGUGCUGUGUUCCUCUGUUAGCUGUGCUGUGUGCUCCUCUGUUAGCUGUGCUGUGUUCCUCUGUUAGCAGUGCUGUGAUCCUCUGUUAGCAGUGCUGUGUGUUCCUCUGUUAACUGUGAUGUGUGUUCCUCUGUUAGCUGUGAUGUGUGUUCCUCUGUUAGCAGUGCUGUGUUCCUCUGUUAGCUGUGAUGUGUGUUCCUCUGUUAGCUGUGCUGUGUGUUCAUCUGUUAGCUGUGCUGUGUGUUCAUCUGUUAGCUGUGCUGUGUGUUCCUCUGUUAGCUGUGCUGUGUGUUCCUCUGUUAGCUGUGUUGUGUUCCUCUGUUAGCUGUGCUGUGUUCCUCUGUUAGCAGUGCUGUGUUCCUCUCUUAGCUGUGAUGUGUGUUCCUCUGUUAGCUGUGCUGUGUGUUCCUCUGUUAGCUGUGAUGUGUGUUUCUCUGUUAGCAGUGCUGUGUUCCUCUGUUAGCUCAGUGCUGUGUUCCUCUGUUAGCUGUGAUGUGUGUUCCUCUGUUAACUGUGCUGUGUUCCUCUGUUGGUGUGCUGUGUAUUCCUCUGUUAGCUGUGAUGUGUGUUUCUCUGUUAGCAGUGCUGUGUUCCUCUGUUAGCUGUGAUGUGUGUUCCUCUGUUAGCUGUGAUGUGUGUUCCUCUGUUAGCUGUGCUGUGUCUUCAUCUGUUAGCUGUGCCGUGUGUUCCUCUGUUAGCUGUGCUGUGUGUUCCUCUGUUAGCUGUGCUGUGUUCCUCUGUUAGCUGUGCUGUGUUCCUCUGUUAGCAGUGCUGUGUUCCUCUGUUAGCUGUGCUGUGUGUUCCUCUGUUAGCUGUGCUGUGUUCCUCUGUUAGCUGUGCUGUGUGUUCCUCUGUUAGCAGUGCUGUGUUCCUCUGUUAGCUGUGCUGUGUGUUCCUCUGUUAGCAGUGCUGUGUGUUCCUCUGUUAGCAGUGCUGUGUGUUCCUCUGUUAGCUGUGCUGUGUGUUCCUCUGUUAGCAGUGCUGUGUGUUCCUCUGUUAGCUGUGCUCUGUGUUCCUCUGUUAGCAGUGCUGUGUGUUCCUCUGUUAGCUGUGCCGUGUGUUCCUCUGUUAGCUGUGCUGUGUGUUCCUCUGUUAGCUGUGCUGUGUGUUCAUCUGUUAGCAGUGCUGUGUGUUCCUCUGUUAGCUGUGCCAUGUGUUCCUCUCUCUCCUCAAGUUCUGUCAUCUCAGACCGGAGUCCAGCCAGCUCUCUCAGACAGCCUUCUAUCUCCACCUUCAGCCCCCUGGGUACUGUGGUGUUGUGCUGGUCUGUUUUGUGUGUCUGUGCUGUCUGGAGUGUGUUGACUAGCUCUCUCCCCACCAUGUCUCUCUCCAGCUCAGUGAAUUGUCACCAAGAGAAAGCUUCUCCUGCCGGGCACUCACUUUGAUUCUCUGAAAGUCCUUGGAAAUGUAUGAAGCUGCCCGGCAACACCAUUGUUCCAUUCUUGUACAGGUUGACAGAGGGUGUCUCAGUCUCAGGGUCCUCAUUUUACACUAUUCUAAUUUUCCAGGGGUAGUGUGCUCUUGUAGCUGUGUUUUCAUUCUAGGCUUUCAAAGUAGAUUCAGACUGAACAUUACUUACUCAGUUCCAGGUUGGAGGAUAUUUUAGGGUUUCUGUUGUGCUUCUUUUGCUGGUUUGUCAGAAAGCUUGCUGGAUAGUCCUUAGCAGUAAGAAUCCUUGGUAAUAAAAAUCCUUCAAGGUAAUUUGGUCCAAAAGCAGGUUGUAGGUUUGGAGUUCUGAUUUGAAGGUCAUGUUGUUGGGGGGUAGUAUCCUGUAUAUGUCCUUGUAAAACAAUCCACGUUUAUACAACCCUAAAUAUAUAUUUUUGUAAAAACAUGCUGAACAAUUCAGUAGCUCAUCUGCUCGUAACCUCCUUGUCUCUCUCUCUCUCUCUCUCUCUCUUUCCCUAUCUCUCUCUAUCUCUCUCUCAUCCCUCUCUCUUUCUUCAACUCCCCCCCCUCUCUCUCUCUCUCUCUUACACUCUCUCUCCCUUUCUCUCUCUCUUACUCUUUCUCUCCCUCUCUCUCUUAAUGUCAUUUCAGCCUUUACCUCACCUAGAUGCCAACUGACGACAAAGUCAUUUGAUAAAAGGAUUCAACGAAUGUAAUGUCAAUGCAAUUUCACCUUUUGUGCCUUCGAUUGAGCUGAAGGACUUUGAGGUUCGGUGCGUGAAGAGAAAAUAAAAUUCUCACCGUCUGGUUGCUGUCCGGUCUCUCUCUCUCUCUCUUUCUCUCUCAACAUCUCUCCCUCUCUCCCUCUCCCUCUUUCUCUUGCUCUCUCUCUCUCCCUCUCUCUCUCCCUCUCUUUUAUCCCUUUAUUUCUUAAUCUCGCUCUCUCUCUCCCGCUCUCUCUAUCUCUUUUUCUCUCAUAGUAGUUCUUGCUUACUCUCACUCUCUCUCUUUCUUAAUGUAAUUUCUGCCUCUACCUCACCUAGACGCCGACUGAUGACAAAGUAAUUUGAUGGAAGGAUUCAUAGAAUGUAAUGUCAGUCCAAUUUCACCUUUUGUGAUUUCGAUUGAACUGAAGGACUUUGAGGUUCGCUGCAUGAGGGGAAAAUACAAUUCAUACAGUCUGGCUGCCGUCUGGCUGUCUGGCUGCCGCCUGCCUGUCAUCUUUAUCAAUAUGGAAUUUACACAACGAGCAGAGUCACAAGAUCCCUUUGUUAGAGUCAAGUGAGAUGUUUCCUAAUUCAAGCGCUGUGUGUGAGUGCGUACGUGUGUGUGAUGUCUGUGCAUCCGUGUGUGUGUUUAUUUGUUUCAGAGGUCUGGUUGGCGUCUGCCGAGGCGGCUGAACCCGGCCUGUAGAAUCAGAUCAUCUCUCCCCCUCAUCUCCCCCCCUUCCCCAUCUUCUCUCUCUUAAUAUCAUUCCUUCCCCUCUCCCCAUCCCCUUUCUCUCCCCCAG
rnacentral:lncRNA from 1 species